CAGCCGUAAACUAUGCGCGUUAGGUGUAUCGGUGACCACGAGUUACCGAGGUGCCGAAGGGAAACCGUGAAACGUGCCGCCUGGGAAGUACGGUCGCAAGGCUGAAACUUAAAGGAAUUGGCGGGGGAGCACCACAACAGGUGGAGCCUGCGGUUUAAUUGGACUCAACGCCGGGAAGCUCACCGGAUAAGACAGCAGAAUGAUUGCCGGGCUGAAGACUCUGCAUGACUAGCUGAGAGGAGGUGCAUGGCGUAGUCGUGU
rnacentral:rRNA from 1 species